AGCCUUCCUGUCCACUUCCUCCAUGUAAAGCCCUGCAAGCACUGGCACAUAUGAAGAUGAGGAUAACUACCUACGGAGAGGUCAGCAAUGCAACCAUCAUUAAACUUAUUGAAGAGUUUUUUAGCAACCAGAUCCUGAAUGGAACAGCCCACAGUCUCUCUGUGACAAAUAUUCAACAAGUGAGAGUUGGCCCAUAAAAGCUUUGCAUGGACAGAAGUCAAAAGUGACUGAAUAAAGACAACAAUUCAAGGAUGUAUUUGGUUUAACAUAAUGUGAAGCAGCAGUAUGACUGAACUGUCAUACUGCCUCUUCACAUGUCUUGAAAUAAAGCAAGCCAUCAAUUUACAAUUCAAGAAAAGAAUUUCUGAGUAAAAAAGAAGAUUAAAUUACAACCAGCUUUGUAAUUCCACACCUUUGCCUGUAUUUUACAUAAAUAUGAGAAUUGGAAAUGUGCUCUUGGUGUGAGUGUCAACUUGAAAAGUAUAAUAGAAAUCUCAAACCAGGAAAUUUGAUCUGUCACAGAUUUGUAAGAGGCGUUAUCAGUUCUUCAGCUCGAGAAGCAGAGGUCACUCUGACAAGCCUGGUAACCAAAAACUGUAAAGCUGGCUUCUUGCUUAUAUAGACAAAGAAAAGUGAGUGAAGCAUACCAAGUGCAUGAAUACUGUCCCUCAAAUCGGGAAAAUCAAUUGUCUGUCAGAUAUUACUGGCAGAUCUUGUUAUUAUGAGUGAUUCUGUUGUACUCAAGGUCACCUUUCCAGUUCAUUGGCAAGACAGAAUUUGAAAGCAUUCCUUUGUAUUUUACUUUAAAGAAUAACUAAAAUUUGGAGGAUGUACAACAUACUGUGUGUUCAGAGAAACUCUGAGAAAGUUUCUGUCACAAGCAUCAGGGAUCACUGCAGUCUGGAGAGAAUGGUCAAGAAAAAUCCAUCCUUCUUUUGAUAUAGGAUAAAUUUGAAUAAAAAUGAACUAAUGCCUAUACGUGUGAGUAACUCCUCUUAGCUACAAAACCUCACGUUUAGUAUAACUUAUGAGAGGUUCACUCUGGGUAUUCAGGAUACAAAGUGCUGGCAACCUAAUGCAGUUAACAAACGUGUCGCCAAGAGGGAAACUACUCGCUUGGCGACACAAAGCAGUCAUCUCCUCUGUGAAUAACUCAAUGGAGCGUGCUGGGAAAAAGUCAGUAGGUGGCACCAUAGUUGCUCUUGUUGCAAAGGCC
ensembl:lncRNA